rnacentral:rRNA from 1 species
AGUGAACGCUGGCGGUAGGCCUAACACAUGCAAGUCGGACGGCAGCACAGUAAGAGCUUGCUCUUACGGGUGGCGAGUGGCGGACGGGUGAGGAAUACAUCGGAAUCUACUUUUUCGUGGGGGAUAACGUAGGGAAACUUACGCUAAUACCGCAUACGACCUACGGGUGAAAGCAGGGGAUCUUCGGACCUUGCGCGAUUGAAUGAGCCGAUGUCGGAUUAGCUAGUUGGCGGGGUAAAGGCCCACCAAGGCGACGAUCCGUAGCUGGUCUGAGAGGAUGAUCAGCCACACUGGAACUGAGACACGGUCCAGACUCCUACGGGAGGCAGCAGUGGGGAAUAUUGGACAAUGGGCGCAAGCCUGAUCCAGCCAUACCGCGUGGGUGAAGAAGGCCUUCGGGUUGUAAAGCCCUUUUGUUGGGAAAGAAAAGCAGCAGGUUAAUACCCCGCUGUUCUGACGGUACUCAAAGAAUAAGCACCGGCUAACUUCGU